CCUCUCUGCAUGCAGUGGUAUGACUGGUUCUCUGUCACUUGAGUCCCCUUUGUGGACAGGGAGGAGGAAACGUGGAAGAUGCUCGCGUGGCCAAACUUCAAGAGGUCUAGAGAGACCGCAUUGUAAAAAUAUGAUGGUCGUGUGGAGCGAUGGUCUAAAUGGUUGCCUGGCGACGAGUGUCACUGAUAAACGGGAUAAAGACUGACCACGAGCUGAACAAACAAAGCCACCUGGAUAGUUUGUUUGCCUUGAUUAAUAUAGAGAUUAUCAAUAAUAAAAGUCAUUUUGGGAAGACCAAAGAGAAACUAAUUAGCAAUCGCACAAGAGAAUGGAGCCUACCAAAGUUUGUCCCCAUGGAGAUGAAAAUGCUGUGCAAGCGUCACUCACUAUUUGACCUGUAUCCACUGUAGAGGAAAAUGAACAUUCAAAAUUCGUUGGAGAUGAACGAUGCAUGUGUCGGUGAAAAGAGAGGACCUCCCUCAGACAGAAACACAAUGCAGUUGAAGAAGAUCAGACAGAAAGCACCUUUGUUAAUCCCGUAGAAUGCCGGAUAAUCAGAUGAGAGUUAACUGACUCAAAGUACCAACACGUAUUUCGAAGCUGACGAAAGAAUUCUAUGCACCAGCAGCAAGGGCAGAGACGAGGAGGCUUGGUUCUCACAAUCUUCAGGGUAAUUACAAUUUUCAGAGCUAGGUACACGUUAAGUUCUGUAGUAAGGCGAACAACUUUUGCAGGGCUUGUUUUUUCCACUUUCCUUGUAUUUAUUGAUUUUUUUAUGAAAACUCAAAUAAUUGUGCAAGAUAACUGGGAGAUUCAAUUUGUGCCUUGCAGUAUGGUGAAAACAAUCAAGCUUGAAGAUGUUACACCAUUUCUCACAUUUACGUAACCAGUACAGGUGCUCCAUUAUGUUGUAAACUUUGGAGGUACUCUAGGGCAGUG